AACGCGAAGAACCUUACCAGGUCUUGACAUCCCAAUGACCGCUCUAGAGAUAGAGUUUUCCCUUGGGGGUCAUUGGUGACAGGUGGUGCAUGGUUGUCGUCAGCUCGUGUCGUGAGAUGUUGGGUUAAGUCCCGCAACGAGCGCAACCCUUAUUCUUAGUUGCCAAGCAUUUUUAGUUGGGCACUCUAAGGAGACUGCCGGUGAAAAACCGGAGGAAGGUGGGGAUGACGUCAAAUCUUCAUGCCCCUUAUGUCCAGGGCUACACACCUGCUACAAUGGACGAUACAAAGAGUCGCAAACUCGCGAGGGAGAGCUAAUCUCAUAAAACUGUUCUCAGUACGGAUAGUACGCUGCAACUCGCCUGCAUGAAGCCGGAAUCGCUAGUAAUCGUAGAUCAGCAUGCUACGGUGAAUACGUUCCCGGGCCUUGCACUCACCG
rnacentral:rRNA from 1 species